UAAGAAAUUCAUAAGGGCGUAUGGUGGAUGCCUUGACUCUAAAAGGCGAUGAAGGACGUGGCAUGUCUGCGAUAAGCUUCGGGUAGGUGACUAGCAACCUGUGAUCCGGAGAUUUCCGAAUGGGGGAACCCAAUCUGUUGAACACAGAUUACCUUGUAUCUGUAAAGGAUACUCGGAGUGCACCUGGGGAAGUGAAACAUCUCAGUACCCAGAGGAAAAGAAAACAAUGUCUAUUUAUUUAGAUAAUAUUUCGUAAGUAGCGGCGAGCGAAAGCGAAAGAGCCCAAACCAGCACAUCACAUGGCAUGUGAUGUGAGUAUAAAGUUUAUAAAGUUUAUAAAGUCAAAAGUUUUUAACUUGCGACUUUUAACUUUUUACUUUUAACUCGCACAUCAUAUUUCAUGUGAUGUGCUGGGGUUGUAGGACAACAGUGUCAUUCUUGUAAUGAAAAAAGUCAAAAAAUAUUUUGUUAGUUGAAUCUGCUGGGAAGCAGGACCCUAGAGGGUAAUAGUCCCGUAAACGAAAACAAUCUAUCUUUUUUAUUGUUGUUCCUGAGUACCUCAAGACACGAAUGGCUUGGGGGAAUCUGCCGGAACUAACCGGUAAGGCUAAAUACUUUUAGAGAUCGAUAGUGAACAAGUACCGUGAGGGAAAGGUGAAAAGAACCCCGGAGAGGGGAGUGAAAUAGACCUGAAACCAUAUGCCUACAAGGAGUGGGAGCCGUCGUAUCUUACUGCGUAAGAACGACGGAAUUAUAAAUGAUAAAUUUUUAAUUUCGUCGCAUCUUGCAUAGCAAGAUGCGACGGUGACCGCGUGCCUAUUGAAGAAUGAGCCAACGAGUCUAAAUAUGCAGCUGCCUAAUUGCGUUAGCAAGGAGGCACAGCGAAAGCGAGUGUGAAUAGCGCGAAAAAAUUAAGUUGUAUGUUUAGGACCCGAAGCCAAGUGAGCUUGCCAUGAGCAGGGUGAAUUUCGUCGAAAGACGGAAGGAGGCCCGAACCGGUUAGUCGUUCAACUCUAUCGGAUGACUUGUGGCAAGUAGUGAAAAGCUAAUCGAACUUGGUAAUAGCUGGUUCUCUCCGAAAUAGCUUUAGGGUUAGCGUCUAGAUUACCUACUGGGGGUAGAGCACUGGAAGGAUUGAAUAGGGGGAAACUUCGUCAAUCCUAUCAAACUCCGAAUACCAGUAGUCAAUUUCUAGGCAGUUAGACUGUGGGGGCUAAGCUCCAUUGGUCAAAAGGGAAACAGCCCAGACCUACAUCUAAGGUCCCAAAAUUCAUACUAAGUGCACUUAAGGAGGUGAAAUUUCUCAGACAAUGAGGAGGUUGGCUUAGAAGCAGCCAUCCUUUAAAGAUAGCGUAACAGCUCACUCAUCAAGAGAUAUUGCGCCGCAAAUAAUCGGGGCUAAGUAUGGUACCGAAGGUUAGGAUGUCACAUUUUUAAUGUGGCGUGGUAGGAGAGCAUUCUGUUCUGCAAUGAAGCCAAAGGCGUAAGCCAUGGUGGAGCGUACAGAAGCGAGAAUGUUGGCACAAGUAACCGCAAUGCAGGUGAGAUCCCUGCACGCCGAAAGACUAAGGUUUCCUUCGCAAUGGUGAUCAGCGAAGGGUUAGUCGGGCCUAAGGAGAUGGUGAAAACCGGAUCUGAUGGACAUACGGUUAAUAUUCCGUAACUUCUUUAUAUUUCGAUGGAGUGACGGAGGACACAAGUAAGAGCACAUUAUUGGAUUUGUGUAUUUUAUUUUAAGAAUUGUUUCUUAGGAAAAUCCGGGAAACUGACUUUAAUGUCGAAUUUCGUAAAUAGAUUAAAUUUCUUCCCUCGGGUUGGAAAAUUCUUACGAAGAGCCUUCCAAGAAAAGCUUCUAAGGUUAAGUAUAAAGAACCCGUACCGUAAACCGACACAGGUAGUCAGGUCGAGAAGACCAAGGCGAACGAGUGAUAAUUCCCCAAGGAACUCGGCAAAAUAGCAGCCGUAACUUCGGAAUAAGGCUUGCCCUUCUGUAAAAGGAGGGGCCGCAGCGAAAGUAACCCUGCCGACUGUUUAUCAAAAACACAGCUCCCUGCGAACUCGCAAGAGGAUGUAUAGGGGGUGACGCCUGACCAAUGCCAGAAGGUUAAAUAUUGGUGGUACGUUCCUCACUGCGUUUGGAACGCAAGUAAGCAGUAGUAAGGUGUAAGUAGUAAGAAACGAAAAAUUUGCUUUGCAAAUUUUUACUUAUUACUUAAUCCUUAUUACUUAAUACUUGCUCCGAGCGAAGCGAGGAGCGUGCUGUCUGAUAUAAGCCCUGGUGAAUGUCGGCCGUAACUAUAACGGUCCUAAGGUCGUAUCUCUUAAUUUUUAGGGGGUACGAUGACUGGGACUGUUAUGUUUACACGAUAAACAAGAUAGAUAGUUUGUGCAUUAAUAAUUUAAGGAAUUAAAGUUGCCUAUUUAUCAUUUAAUUAUGAUGAAUGUCAAAAAAAUCUAGCUAUAUGCUGGAAAAUCCGAGAAUCUGAAGGUACUCGCUACAUUUUUUGUAGCAGUAAAAAUCCGAUCAGUGCGGACAAUCAGCAGGAAAGAUUAAAAAUUGAAUCUCAGUUUUUAAAAUCCUCAGAGACUAAACGCUAGACUAAGUAAAUACUUAGAAAGUAUAGUCCGAACUACAUAGCGAUAUGUAGAGACAGAAAAAGCUGUCCACUUUGAUUUUUCAAAGGAGUAACAAAUUUGAGCGAAAUUCCUUGUCUAGUAAUUGUAGACGUGCACGAAUGGCGUAACGAGUGGGGUACUGUCUCGGGGAACAGCUCGGUGAAAAUACAAUACCGGUGAAGAUGCCGGUUACCUGCAGCUAGACGAAAAGACCCCAGGAGCUUUACUAUAGCUUGGUAUUGGGUGUAUGUUUUUGAUGCGUAGCAUAGGUGGGAGACUUUGAAGGGCAGUUUUUGGAUUGUCUGGAGUCAACAGUGAAAUACCACUCUUUAAAAAUGUACAUUCUAAUCUCGACGGAAAAAACGGCGGGAGACAGUAUCUGGCAGGUAGUUUUAGUGGGGCGCUAUCCUCCUAAAAAGUAACGGAGGAGCCUAUUAAGGUCAGCUAAGCGCGAAUGGAAACCGUGCUGAUAGUGUAAUGGCACAAGCUGGCUUGAUUGUGAGGCGUGCAUGCCGAACAAGUGCGAAAGCAGAGCAUAGUGAACCGACACCUCGCAUUAGACGCGGGUGAAGAUUAACGGAUAAAAGCUACCCUGGGGAUAACAGGCUGGUAUCGCCUAAGAGUUCAUAUCGACGGCGAUGUUCGGCACCUCGAUGUCGGCUCAACUUAUCCUGGGGCUGGAGAAGGUCCCAAGGGUUUGGCUGUUCGCCAAUUAAAAAGUUACGCGAGCUGGGUUCAGACCGUCGAGAAGCGAAGCUUCUCGACAAAUAACAAGUAAAAAGUCUUGUUUCGCGAUUCGACAGUCUGAAUCAAAACAAAACAUAGAGUUUUUUCGUCUAUGAAAAAGAAAAGAAACCAACCACACGGCGGUCCGUGAAAAGUAAUUUUCACGAGAAAAAGUCAACUUAUAUCGGUAGAAUCCUAUCAUUUUUUUGAGGACAAUACCGAGGGAAAACUGAGUUAAAAGUUGAAAGUUCAUAAAGUUUAUAAAGUAUUAAAAAUCGCACGACGAUUUUCAAAAAACUUUUAACUUUAGAAACUUUAAAAACUUUAUAAACUCUUUUGCCCGUAGAGACUAAAUGUUGACCUCUGAUUUUUUAAAAAAUCAGACGAAGUUAUAGUCCGAUCCCGUUAGUAAUAACGGUGUUGAAAACUAUUAGUCACAAGCUAAGAGUUAUCAGCUACAUAUUGCGUGAGACAGGUUGGUCUCCUAUCUGCUGCAGGCGUUGAUUCUUGAGAAGAUUUGCUCCUAGUACGAGAGGACCGGAGUGAACUAACCUCUGGUGUACCAGCUGUUCCGCCAGGAGCACCGCUGGGUAGCUAUGUUGGGAAUGGAUAACCUCUGAAAGCAUCUAAGAGGGAAGCCAACUUCAAGAUUAGGAAUCGUUUAAGAUCCCUGAGAGAUGAUCAGGUGAUAGGCUCUAGGUGUAAGCACAGUAAUGUGUUCAGCCGAGGAGUACUAAUGCAUCGAGACAUUUCUUAUU
rfam:Parcubacteria (Campbellbacteria) bacterium GW2011_GWC1_35_31 TR76_C0004, whole genome shotgun sequence.